rnacentral:rRNA from 5 species
CUGGAACGCGCCCCGGCGCACCCAGAAACCCUUUGUGAACUUAUACCUUACUGUUGCCUCGGCGCAGGCCGGCCUCUUAGCUGAGGCCCCCCGGAGACGGGGAGCAGCCCGCCGGCGGCCAACCUAACUCUUGUUUUUACACUGUAUCUCUGAGCAAAAAACAUAAAUGAAUCAAAACUUUCAACAACGGAUCUCUUGGUUCUGGCAUCGAUGAAGAACGCAGCGAAAUGCGAUAAGUAAUGUGAAUUGCAGAAUUCAGUGAAUCAUCGAAUCUUUGAACGCACAUUGCGCCCUCUGGUAUUCCGGAGGGCAUGCCUGUUCGAGCGUCAUUUCAACCCUCAAGCCUGGCUUGGUGUUGGGGCACUGCUUCGAGAGAAGCAGGCCCUGAAAUCUAGUGGCGAGCUCGCUAGGACCCCGAGCGUAGUAGUUAUAUCUCGUUCUGGAAGGCCCUGGCGGUGCCCUGCCGUUAAACCCCCAACUUCUGAAAAU